GAAGGAAAGAUCUCGUUCGUGUAUUACGGGGUUUUUAGCGUCUCCUCCUUCUAUCCUCUUCAUCCUCUUCCCGGCAAUUGAUAAAAAUGAAACACGGUGUGUUAUAUAACCAGAUUUUUGCGCAAGAUCACGUUUGUGCCGAGGAUUGCGUGCGCGCACCCGCCACCGCCGCCACUCACUGCCUUUUUGCUAUUACGCUAGCUAAAAUCC
ensembl:ncRNA D2024.17 ncRNA